rnacentral:rRNA from 1 species
UUUUUGACAAUGGGCGCGAGCCUGAUCCAGCCACGCCGCGUGAGUGAAGAAGGCCUCCGGGGUGUAAAGCACUUUCGGUCGGAAAGAAAACGCGCAGGCUAAUACCCUGCGCGGCUGACGGUACCGUCAUAAGAAGCACCGGCUAACUCCGUGCCAGCAGCCGCGGUACUACGUAGGGUGCGAGCGUUAAUCGGAGUUACUCGGGGUAAAGCAUGCGCAGGCGGUUGAUUAAGAAAGGCGUGAAAUACCCGGGCUUAACCAGCGGACUGCGCUUGUGACGAGUCAGCUAGAGUACGGCAGAGGGGGGUGGAAUUCCACGUGUAGCAGUGAAAUGCGUAGAGAUGUGGAGGAACACCGAUGGCGAAGGCAGCCCCCUGGGCCGAUACUGACGCUCAUGAAAGAAAGCGUGGGUAGCAAACAGG